GACGAACGCUGGCGGCGUGCUUAACACAUGCAAGUCGAACGGAAAGGCCCCUUUGGGGGUCCUCGCGUGGCGGACGGGUGAGUAACACGCGAGUAACCAGCCCUUCACUUCGGUAUAACUACAGGAAACUGGGGCGAAUACCGGACAGGAAUCCUUUCUGCCUGGUGGGGGGUGGAAAGCUUCGGCGGUUUUGGGUGGACUCGCGGCCUAUCAGCCUGUUUGUGGGGUAGUGGGUUACCAAGGGUUUGGCGGGUGGCCGGCCGGGGGGGGGGACCGGCCAACUUGGGACUGAGAUAAGGCCCAGACGCCGACGGGGGGCAGCAGUGGGGAAUAUUGCACAAUGGGCGGAAGCCUGAUGCAGCAACGCCGGCGGCGGGAUGACGGGCUUCGGGGUGGAAACCGGCUUCAGCAGGGGCGAAGCCUGUGGUGACGGUACCUGCAGAAGAAGCACCGGCUAACUACGUG
rnacentral:rRNA from 1 species